rnacentral:rRNA from 1 species
UACGAAGGGGGCUAGCGUUGUUCGGAUUUACUGGGCGUAAAGCGCACGUAGGCGGAUUUGUCAGUCAGGGGUGAAAUCCCGGGGCUCAACCUCGGAACUGCCUCCGAUACAGCAAAUCUCGGGUCCGGAAGAGGUGAGUGGAAUUCCUAGUGUAGAGGCGAAAUUCGUAGAUAUUAGGAAGAACACCAGUGGCGAAGGCGGCUCACUGGUCCGGUACUGACGCUGAGGUGCGAAAGCGUGGGGAGCAAACAGG